rnacentral:misc_RNA from 1 species
UUCUUUUUCUGUAUUUGCGAAGAUCUUAUACGUCAAAUUUACACAAGCAGUAAUUUCCCCAUUUGGAGCAUAAACCAAUUUAUUACAAAUAAAAAUUUAAAAUGUUGGGUCGCACAGGUCUAUUGGCUCGUAAUAUUACCCAGACUUUGGUGAGACACCACAGUCAUGGUGGUAUUCCCGGUGAGAACUUGCCGUUCGGUCUAAAUAACCGCUACAAGUUGACCGCCUACUUUGUACUUUUCUUCGGAUCUGGAUUAGCUGCUCCAUUCUUGGUCGUCAGACAUCAGCUGUUAAAGAAGUAAAAUACCCCAUUUUGCAAGCAUAAGAAGGGAGCUAUGCUUGGAAAAUUUUUCUGUGCUAUGACCAGCUCUAAAAAGUUUGUUAUGUAUGAAUAAGAUUAAAGUCAAAUUCUACCCAAAUAAAAAUAUAUAUCAUACAGAAAUACAUGUCUAUUCUUAAGAGAUUUUAUUGUUUCACUAGACGAGGUCAUUUUAGUAAAAGCAAAGAUUUAAGUAACAAGGCUACAUACUCAAAAAGCUGGAAAAACGCAAACAAGAUUAAAAAAAAUUAAAAUUAACUCAGCAAUAAAAGAUAUAGUUGUCAUGCUUUUUGAAAAGAAACUUGUCGAUGAUAAAUUUAUUUGAAAGCUAAGAUUGGCACGAAUAAGUAGUUAAAAUUGUUCCAAUAAUAUUUAAAGCUAAUCUUUUAUUAUGAUUGGACGGUUUGGAAGCCUUACGCGUGGAGCACGCAAAUUUUCCACUACUAUGUUAUGUUAUGGAGGUGGGCACGGGAGACCCGGUUGUCCAGGCGAGAACCUACCAAUUAACUUAAAUGCAGGAAAAUAUAAAAUAACAAUGAUUAUGACGCUAUUCUUUGGAACCGGCUUAGGCGCUCCAUGGCUUGUGGUUAUGUGGUCUUUGUUAAAAGGCAAAUAAUAAGUGUGUCAUAUUUUCUAACCAAACAAAUUUUAAAAGAUAACAUAACAUCUUCAUUACGUUUCCGUCGGAAGCACACAACAAAAUGGUUUUAUUAAGAAAAUAAAUAUUUUAUGUAGUAUAACAAAAACUAUUUGCUAAUAAAUUCAAUUAUGCCAAACUUUAUCACAA